UGCCUAAUACAUGCAAGUCGAGCGGACAGAAGGGAGCUUGCUCCCGGAUGUUAGCGGCGGACGGGUGAGUAACACGUGGGUAACCUGCCUGUAAGACUGGGAUAACUCCGGGAAACCGGAGCUAAUACCGGAUAGUUCCUUGAACCGCAUGGUUCAAGGAUGAAAGACGGUUUCGGCUGUCACUUACAGAUGGACCCGCGGCGCAUUAGCUAGUUGGUGGGGUAAUGGCUCACCAAGGCAACGAUGCGUAGCCGACCUGAGAGGGUGAUCGGCCACACUGGGACUGAGACACGGCCCAGACUCCUACGGGAGGCAGCAGUAGGGAAUCUUCCGCAAUGGACGAAAGUCUGACGGAGCAACGCCGCGUGAGUGAUGAAGGUUUUCGGAUCGUAAAGCUCUGUUGUUAGGGAAGAACAAGUGCGAGAGUAACUGCUCGCACCUUGACGGUACCUAACCAGAAAGCCACGGCUAACUACGUGCCAGCAGCCGCGGUAAUACGUAGGUGGCAAGCGUUGUCCGGAAUUAUUGGGCGUAAAGGGCUCGCAGGCGGUUUCUUAAGUCUGAUGUGAAAGCCCCCGGCUCAACCGGGGAGGGUCAUUGGAAACUGGGAAACUUGAGUGCAGAAGAGGAGAGUGGAAUUCCACGUGUAGCGGUGAAAUGCGUAGAGAUGUGGAGGAACACCAGUGGCGAAGGCGACUCUCUGGUCUGUAACUGACGCUGAGGAGCG
rnacentral:rRNA from 1 species